rnacentral:rRNA from 1 species
UCGGAUUGCAGUCUGCAACUCGAGUGCAUGAAGCUGGAAUCGCUAGUAAUCGCGAAUCAGAAUGUCGCGGUGAAUACGUUCCCGGGUCUUGUACACACCGCCCGUCACACCAUGGGAGUCGGGAAUGCCCGAAGCCGGUGACCCAACCUUAAGGAGGGAGCCGUCGAAGGCAGGCCUGGUAACUGGGGUGAAGUCGUAACAAGGUAAC